UACGCCAUGCGCGUGCUGCUGCCACUGCUGCGCACCAGCUGGGCCUGGUGCUUGGGCGCCCCGGCUGCCGCCGCCGCCCGCCUGCCGCGGGGAGCGAGCGCAGGGCCCGGGCCGCGCCGCGCCAUGGCUUUUUACCGCACAGAGGAGCGCGGCCAGCCCCACUCUCCCGGUUACCGCCUCUUUUUCAAGAAUGUAGCUGGUCACUACAUUUCCCCCUUUCAUGAUAUUCCUCUGAAGGCGGACUCUGAAGAGGAAAAUGGCAUUCCUACAAAGAGAGCACGAAAUGAUGAAUAUGAGAAUUUGUUUAAUAUGGUUGUAGAAGUACCUCGGUGGACAAAUGCUAAAAUGGAGAUUGCCACGGAGGAGCCAUUGAAUCCCAUUAAACAAGAUGUAAAGGAUGGCGAGCUUCGCUACGUGGCAAAUAUCUUUCCUCACAAGGGUUAUAUAUGGAAUUAUGGUGCCCUCCCUCAGACUUGGGAAGAUCCCCAUCGAAAAGAUAAGAGCACAGACUGCUGUGGAGAUAAUGAUCCUAUUGAUGUUUGUGAAAUAGGCUCAAAGGUUCUUUCUCGUGGAGAUGUUGUUCAUGUGAAGAUCCUUGGAAUUUUGGCUCUGAUUGAUCAGGGUGAAACAGAUUGGAAAUUAAUUGCUAUCAAUGUGAACGAUCCUGAAGCCUCAAAGUUUCAUGAUAUUGAAGAUGUUAAGAAGUACAAACCUGGUUACUUAGAAGCUACGCUUAAUUGGUUUAGAUUUUAUAAGAUACCAGAGGGAAAACCAGAAAACCAGUUUGCUUUUAAUGGAGAAUUCAAGAACAAGGCUUUUGCUCUUGAAGUUAUUAAAUCUACUCAUGAAUGUUGGAAAGCAUUGCUUAUGGAGAAGUGUGCUGGAGGGUCUAUAAAUUGGACUCCCUGUUCUCUCAUCACCAUUUUCCCAGAAUUCCCAAGGAAUGUUUCACUUUGGUGUAGUUUUAAUGUUAAAAACAUUGCGUGUAGCAGGGGCCCCCAACCCCCAGGCCACGGACCAGUACCUGUCCGUGGUCAGUUAGGAACUGGGCCGCACAGCAGGAAGUGAGCAGCGGGGGAGUGAGCGAAGCUUCAUCUGUAUUUACAGCCUCUCCCCAUCGCUCGCGUUACCGCCUGAGCUCCGCCUCCUGUCAGCAUUAUGCACAAAUGUGCAGGUAUGUGAUAGCCCUUUCCAUUGCUCUCAGGAGGAAGCAAGAUCAUUAGUUGAAUCG